rnacentral:rRNA from 1 species
UGGAUGAGUGGCGAACGGGUGAGUAACACGUGAGUAACCUGCCCCCUUCUUUGGGAUAACGCCCGGAAACGGGUGCUAAUACUGGAUAUUCACUGGCCUUCGCAUGGGGGUUGGUGGAAAGGUUCUUUCUGGUGGGGGAUGGGCUCGCGGCCUAUCAGCUUGUUGGUGGGGUGAUGGCCUACCAAGGCUUUGACGGGUAGCCGGCCUGAGAGGGUGACCGGUCACAUUGGGACUGAGAUACGGCCCAG